GUGCGCUCUUCCGAUAAAUGUAAGCUUACAAAUAACCUUCCAGGAAGGCGACUUCCUUGUCACAGAGUGUGAUAGAAGGUACACUGAUACACUUAUCACCGGACUUGUGAAUAUGGUAUGCUUCCACGAUUUCCUUUUCCGUUCUGUCAUGAG
rnacentral:lncRNA from 1 species